GUCCACGCCGUAAACGAUGAGUGCUAGACGUUGGGGAGCCUAGCUUUCCGGUGUCGCAGCUAACGCGAUAAGCACUCCGCCUGGGGAGUACGGCCGCAAGGUUAAAACUCAAAGGAAUUGACGGGGCCCGCACAAGCGGUGGAGCAUGUGGUUUAAUUCGAAGCAACGCGCAGAACCUUACCAGCCCUUGACAUGGGGAGUGUGAUCCCGAGAGAUCGGGGUCUUCAGUUCGGCUGGCUCCCGCACAGGUGCUGCAUGGCUGUCGU
rnacentral:rRNA from 1 species